rnacentral:rRNA from 1 species
GACGAACGCUGGCGGCGUGCCUAAUACAUGCAAGUAGAACGCUGAAGAGAGGAGCUUACUCUUCUUGGAUGAGUUGCGAACGGGUGAGUAACGCGUAGGUAACCUGCCUUGUAGCGGGGGAUAACUAUUGGAAACGAUAGCUAAUACCGCAUAACAAUGGAUGACACAUGUCAUUUAUUUGAAAGGGGCAAUUGCUCCACUACAAGAUGGACCUGCGUUGUAUUAGCUAGUAGGUGAGGUAAUGGCUCACCUAGGCGACGAUACAUAGCCGACCUGAGAGGGUGAUCGGCCACACUGGGACUGAGACACGGCCCAGACUCCUACGGGAGGCAGCAGUAGGGAAUCUUCGGCAGUGGGGGCAACCCUGACCGAGCAACGCCGCGUGAGUGAAGAAGGUUUUCGGAUCGUAAAGCUCUGUUGUAAGUCAAGAACGGGUGUGAGAGUGGAAAGUUCACACUGUGACGGUAGCUUACCAGAAAGGGACGGCUAACUACGUG